rnacentral:rRNA from 1 species
CCUUAAUGGAGAGUUUGAUCCUGGCUCAGGACGAACGCUGGCGGCGUGCCUAAUACAUGCAAGUCGAGCGGAUCUGUUCCUUCGGGAAUAGGUUAGCGGCGGACGGGUGAGUAACACGUAGGCAACCUGCCUGUAAGAUCGGGAUAACUACCGGAAACGGUAGCUAAGACCGGAUAGCUGGUUUCUUCGCAUGGAGAGAUCAUGAAACAUGGGGCAACCUAUGACUUACAGAUGGGCCUGCGGCGCAUUAGCUAGUUGGCGGGGUAACGGCCCACCAAGGCGACGAUGCGUAGCCGACCUGAGAGGGUGAUCG